AACGAACGCUGGCGGCGCGCCUAACACAUGCAAGUCGAACGAGAAGGCGUAGCAAUACGCUUGUAAAGUGGCGAACGGGUGAGGGACACGUGGGUAACCUACCCUCGAGUGGGGAAUAACCAACCGAAAGGUUGGCUAAUGCCGCGUACGCUUCCAUCUCUUUGGAGGUGGAAGGAAAGCUGUACCGUGGGUACAGCGCUCAAGGAUGGGCUCACGUCCUAUCAGCUUGUUGGUAGGGUAACGGCCACCAAGGCAACGACGGGUAGCUGGUCUGAGAGGAUGGCCAGCCACAUUGGGACUGAGACACGGCCCAGACUCCUACGGGAGGCAGCAGUGGGGAAUAUUGCGCAAUGGACGAAAGUCUGACGCAGCGACGCCGCGUGUGGGAUGACGGUCUUCGGAUCGUAAACCACUGUCGGGAGGGACGAAUACGCCGCAAGGCGGGUGACGGGUACCUCCAAAGGAAGCACCGGCUAACUCCGUGCCAGCAGCCGCGGUAAG
rnacentral:rRNA from 1 species